rnacentral:sRNA from 2 species
GACCCCCUUUUUUAAACCAUGUUCGACUUUUAAUGAUAAACUGUAACCCGGGAAGAAUUCUAUAUUGAGCACCUAUGCAGGGAGAUGUAAGAAAUAUUCGUAGUAACUUAAAUAUGCAUGCCCCGUCAACGUUUCCGUUGAAGGCUGACGCCCAAAAGAUUUUGGCUGUGGAUUAUUUGAGCUUCGACACGGAGUAUUUCUAACAUUUGCAAGGAUUGAUGUUUCAUGCCUCUGAGAAAGUAAAGGACGUUCAGUAGAAUCGAUUUAAAAAAUAAAAAUGAAAAUAAAACUGAAAAUGAAAUAAAAAUGAAAAUGAAAUAAAAAAGUAAGGUAAAGUAAAGAACAUGAAGAAAAGAAAGGGGGGAGGGGGCAGAACUCCAGCUCCCACAUCAUAUUAAGCCUUGAACUCAUUCAUCCAUGUAACAGAAAGAGAAGAUAACAUUGAUAGAUGGAGUAAGUUGUGGUUUCUCUUUUCAUCAUCACCAUUUCAUACUUUCUCAUUCUUCGAUAUACACAUAUGCAUAUUCAUGAUUACAUGCACACUAUUCACAGCCACACUGUGCUUUGAAUCUCAAAGGAGGAAAGGGAAUAUAAGAACAGAUAAUGGCAAGAAUGGAAGAAGAAAACAAAGUUAAAACAGCACAUGAAGCAAUUUAAAAAAGAAAAAAAAAAGGAGAAGAAAAGCGAAAAAGAAGAAUCACAGUGUCGAAAGUCAACUCGGUGG